AGAGUGAACGCUGGCGGUAGGCCUAACACAUGCAGGUCGAGCGGCAGCACAGUAGGAGCUUGCUCUUACGGGUGGCGAGUGGCGGACGGGUGAGGAAUACAUCGGAAUCUACCUUUUGGUGGGGGAUAACGUAGGGAAACUUACGCUAAUACCGCAUACGCCCUUCGGGGGAAAGCCGGGGACCAGCAAUGGCCUGGCGCUGAUAGAUGAGCCGAUGUCGGAUUAGCUAGUUGGUGAGGUAAUGGCUCACCAAGGCGACGAUCCCGUAGC
rnacentral:rRNA from 1 species